CCCAAUUAGGGUGGAAAUGCACGGCAGCAGGUGGACUUGGUCACUAUCUGUAUACAGCAAGGAGGCAGUGUUUGGGAGCAACAGGAGAAGAGCGGUACAGUCCGGUGGCGCUGCAGUGCUGGGAGUCUCAUGGGGAGAGGACAGCUAGAGGUAGUGAUUCAGCAUCUGUGCAUAGAACGGCAUCCUGAGGAUCCGGCAGAGGAGGCUGCUGUACUUCCUGGAUCCACCGCAGCCAAGCACACAGCAGCGUGUGCUAGACUGGGGAGAGAGGCUGCUGCUACUGGCUGACAGAUCAGACUCGACACCACUGAGUCUGAGUUCUCAUCUUAAAUUGAACAAGAAAAGACAGUGGAGUAACUUGAAGACCUGACUUCAGGAAAUUACCAGAUUACUGCAAGACCACAAUGAAAAACAGUAUCUGUUCACACUUUUAUAGGCACAGACUGAAAUGGAUGUAUGGACAAGAUCUUUUUCAAGAAAGGCAGUACGAUAUCAUUUAUUUCGUGAUAUACAAUCAUUAAACAAUGCCUAAAAGGAAUACAAAGAUGAGAGAAGACUCAGCCUCCCAGGCCCCUUGAUGAUGGCAGAAAAUCUAUAUAAACAGGGCUUCAGUUACCCCAUUCACAUAGUGACUAUAGUGUACAAUCAAUCUUAUUCUUAUGAUGCUUAAUA